GCAAACUUGGUCAUUUAGAGGAAGUAAAAGUCGUAACAAGGUUUCCGUAGGUGAACCUGCGGAAGGAUCAUUAACAGGCGCCCUUGCGGCGCGCGGGGGGGAUCCCGCGGCUCCGGCCCGGGGCUCCUCCCUCCUCUGCAAACCCUCCGUGUACUCUUUUCUACCCGGCGUUGCUUCCCCGCCGUGCCUAGCCGCCGGCGGGGGAGGGCCUCAUGAAAACUCAUUUUAUUGUUUCUGUCAUUUUGCUCAGUGGUCGGGCGCCGGCUCCGGCCGCGCCUGCCGACACAACUGUCAAAACUUUCAACAACGGAUCUCUUGGUUCCCGCAUCGAUGAAGAACGCAGC
rnacentral:misc_RNA from 1 species